rnacentral:rRNA from 1 species
CAUUGUGCUUGCACAGAUGACGACCGGCGCACGGGUGCGUAACGCGUAUAGAACCUACCUUUUACAGAGGAAUAGCCUUUAGAAAUGAAGAUUAAUGCCUCAUAGUAUUGUAGACUGGCAUCAGUUUAUAAUUAAAGAUUUAUCGGUAAAAGAUGGCUAUGCGUCCUAUUAGUUAGUUGGUAAGGUAACGGCUUACCAAGACAGCGAUAGGUAGGGGUCCUGAGAGGGAGAUCCCCCACACUGGUACUGAGACACGGACCAGACUCCUACGGGAGGCAGCAGUGAGGAAUAUUGGACAAUGGAGGAGACUCUGAUCCAGCCAUGCCGCGUGUAGGAAGAAUGCCCUAUGGGUUGUAAACUACUUUUAUACAGGAAGAAACACUGGUAUGUAUACCAGCUUGACGGUACUGUAAGAAUAAGGACCGGCUAACUCCGUGCCAGCAGCCGCGGUAAUACGGAGGGUCCGAGCGUUAUCCGGAAUCAUUGGGUUUAAAGGGUCCGCAGGCGGUCGAUUAAGUCAGAGGUGAAAUCCCAUAGCUCAACUAUGGAACUGCCUUUGAUACUGGUUGACUUGAGUCAUAUGGAAGUAGAUAGAAUGUGU